ACAUUGCGGCGGCUAAACAUGCAAGUCGGACGGUAGCACAGAGGAGCUUGCUCCUCGGGUGACGAGUGGCGGACGGGUGAGUAAUGUCUGGGGAUCUGCCCGAUAGAGGGGGAUAACCACUGGAAACGGUGGCUAAUACCGCAUAACGUCGCAAGACCAAAGAGGGGGACCUUCGGGCCUCUCACUAUCGGAUGAACCCAGAUGGGAUUAGCUAGUAGGCGGGGUAACGGCCCACCUAGGCCACUAUCCCUAGCUGGUCUGAGAGGAUGACCACCCACACUGGAACUGACACACGGUCCACACUCCUACGGGAGGCAGCAGUGGGGAAUAUUGCACAGUGGGCGCAAGCCUGAUGCACCCGUGCCGCGUGUAUGAAAAAGGCCUUCGGGUUGUAAAGUACUUUCAGCGGGGAGGAAGGCUAUGUGGUUAAUAACCGCAUUGAUUGACGUUACCCGCAAAAAAAGCACCGGCUAACUCCGUGCCAGCAGCCGCGGUAAUACGGAGGGUGCAAGCGUUAAUCAGAAUUACUGGGCGUAAAGCGCACGCAGGCGGUCUGUUAAGUCAUAUGUGAAAUCCCCGGGCUUAACCUGGGAACUGCAUUUGAAACUGGCAGGCUUGAGUCUCGUAGAGGGGGGUAGAAUUCCGGGUGUAGCGGUGAAAUGCGUAGAGAUCUGGAAGAAUACCGGUGGCGAACGCGGCCCCCUGGACGAACACUGACGCUCAUGUGCGAAAGCGUGGGGAGCACACGAGAUUAUAUACCCUGGUACUCCACGCCGUACACGAUGUCCACUUGGAUGUUGUUCCCUUGAAGAGUGGCUUCCAGAGCUAACGCGUUAACUCGACCGCCUGGAGAGUACGGCCGCAGGUUAAAACUCAAAUGAAUUGACGGGGGCCCGCACAAGCGGUGGAGCAUGUGGUUUAUUUCUAUGCACGCGAAGAAUCUUACCUAC
rnacentral:rRNA from 1 species